rnacentral:rRNA from 1 species
ACUGGGCAUGUGCUCGUCCAUCUAUUUAUCUUCUCUUGUGCACAUCUUGUAGUCUUGGAUGAACCCUUGCGCAUUCGUGCGGUCUGGGAGCUGCGAAUUAAAACCUUGCUUCUCCUGCUUGUCCAAGGCUAUGUUUUCAUAUACACUAUAAAGUUACAGAAUGUCAAUUAACGACUUGUGCUUGUCACGGUCAUUAAACCUAUACAACUUUCAGCAACGGAUCUCUUGGCUCUCCUAUCGAUGAAGAACGCAGCGAAAUGCGAUAAGUAAUGUGAAUUGCAGAAUUCAGUGAAUCAUCGAAUCUUUGAACGCACCUUGCGCCCUUUGGUAUUCCGAAGGGCAUGCCUGUUUGAGUGUCAUUAAAUUAUCAACCUUGCUCGCUUUUACCGGCUUGAGUUAGGCUUGGAUGUGAGGGUCUUUGCUGGCUUCCUUCAGUGGAUGGUCUGCUCCCUUUAAAUGCAUUAGUGGGAUCUCUUGUGGACCGUCACUUGGUGUGAUAAUUAUCUAUGCCAUCUUGACUUUGAAGCAAACUAAUGGGAACCUGCUCAUAACCGUCCUUUCAGGACAACUCUUGACAUUUUGACCUCAAAUCAGGUAGGACUACCCGCUGAACUUAAGCAUAUCAAUAAGCGGAGGAAAAGAAACUAACAAGGAUUCCCCUAGUAACUGCGAGUGAAGCGGGAAAAGCUCAAAUUUAAAAUCUGGCGG